GAUGAAUGCUGGCGGCGCGCCUAAAACAUGCAAGUCGAACGGCUCUUCCGGGAGCAGUGGCGGACGGCUGAGUAACACGUGGGUAACCUACCCUGGAGUGGGGGACAACCCGCCGAAAGGCGAGCUAAUACCGUAUACGAUAACUGGUCUGAGGCUUUGUGAGGAAAGCCGGAAGGAGCGAUAGGAUGGGCCUGCGGUCGAUUAGCGAGUUGGUGGGGUAAAGGCCUACCAAGGCGAUGAUCGGUAGCUGGUCUGAGAGGAUGAUCAGCCAGUCUGGGACUAUGACACGGCCCAGACUCCUACGGGAGGCAGCAGUUAGGAAUCUUGGGCAAUGGGCGAUAGCCUGACCCAGCAACGCCGCGUGGGUGACGAAGGCCUUCGGGUCGUAAAGCCCUUUUCCCAGGGAAGAUGAUGACGGUACCUGGGGAAUAAGCCCCGGCUAACUACGUGCCAGCAGCCGCAGUAA
rnacentral:rRNA from 1 species